rnacentral:rRNA from 1 species
UGCGUAGGGUGCAAGCGUUGUCCGGAAUUAUUGGGCGUAAAGAGCUCGUAGGCGGUUUGUCGCGUCGAAUGUGAAAACCCGGGGCUCAACUCCGGGCCUGCAUUCGAUACGGGCAGACUAGAGUUCGGUAGGGGAGACUGGAAUUCCUGGUGUAGCGGUGAAAUGCGCAGAUAUCAGGAGGAACACCGGUGGCGAAGGCGGCCCCCUGGCCCGCAACUGACGCUCAUGGUCGAAAGCGUGGGGAGCAAACAGG